rnacentral:rRNA from 1 species
AGUGAACGCUGGCGGUAGGCCUAACACAUGCAAGUCGAACGGCAGCACAGUAAGAGCUUGCUCUUACGGGUGGCGAGUGGCGGACGGGUGAGGAAUACAUCGGAAUCUACUUUUUCGUGGGGGAUAACGUAGGUAAACUUACGCUAAUACCGCAUACUACCUACGGGUGAAAUCAGGGGAUCUUCGGACCUUGCGCGAUUGAAUGAGCCGAUGUCGGAUUAGCUAGUUGGCGGGGUAAAGGCCCACCAAGGCGACGAUCCGUAGCUGGUCUGAGAGGAUGAUCAGCGACACUGGAACUGAGACACGGUCAAGACUCCUACGGGAGGCAGCAGUGGGGAAUAUUGGACAAUGGGGGCAAGCAUGAUCCAGCCAUACCGCGUGGGUGAAGAAGGCCUUCGGGUUGUAAAGACCUUUUGUUGGGAAAGAAAAGCAGCAGGUUAAUACCCCGCUGUUCUGACGGUACCCAAAGAAUAAGCACCGGCUAACUUCGUG